GACGUAGGGCGCGAGCGUUGUCCGGAUUUAUUGGGCGUAAAGGGCUCGUAGGCGGUUUGUCGCGUCGGGAGUGAAAUCCACUGGCUUAACUGGUGGCUUGCUUUCGAUACGGGCAGACUGGAGGUAUGCAGGGGAGAACGGAAUUCCAGGUGUAGCGGUGAAAUGCGUAGAUAUCUGGAGGAACACCGGUGGCGAAGGCGGCAUCCUGGACCGGUAUUGACGCUGAGGCGCGAAAGCCAGGGGAGCAAACGGG
rnacentral:rRNA from 1 species